UUUAUUAAAAGACAAUCUUUGUUGCUUAGAUAUAUGAAAAAAAUCACAUUCAGAAAUAUUGUUGAAUUCACCAACAUCUUCUAUAUGGUUUACAACUUCUUUAGAAGCAUGUCCCAACCUACAAUGUCAUAGGUAGGAUACUGAGCACGUUUUAUUACAAUUGUGACAUGCACAAGCUUGGUUUAUUGGUAGAGAAAAAGCUGCAGGGACUUUAGUAGGGUUGAUAUCUAUGUCCAAUCUGUACAGUCCAUCAUGUAUUCUUCCAUAGGCAAUCACAUCCUUGGUUAACAGGUAUAUGCAAGGUAUCAAUCAAUUCUAGUUUGGAGUUCAAUUUAACAUUUCCUACAUUAUGGACAUUGUUUAUAGAGCCAUCUGGUAAGUAAACAGGCAUGGGGUUUCUUGGCUUGAUUUUGGAUUUAAACAAGAUUUGAUCAUAUUUCAGGUGAGAAGUAGCUCCAUAGUUAAUUAUCCACAUACCUUGAGUUGGUGAAUGAUCUCCAGAAAAAUAGAGGGCAUUACCUGCGAAUCCAGAGAAAUUUGAGCAAUUGGCAUCUGAGAUAGGCUUGCCUUUCAGGUACUUGACUAUUCCUUGUUGGACUAUAGAGCUGAUGUUAGAGUUCCAUUCUUCCAGCUUUACAUUCUCAAUAUGUGCAAUCGCUUCCAGAGGAUUCUCCUAUAUUUGUGUGGUGACAUUAGCCUAUUGUUUCCCCUUUUUCUGCUUAAGUUCCUGAAACCAGUCUGGAAAUCCAUUUAGUUUGAAAGAAGUCUCUCUUAUGUGUCUAAUCUUAUGACAGUAAGUGCAUUGGCGAUCUUUUUUUCU